CCUCCCCUUAAGCCUUCCAGUUACACACUUGCUGUUUUCUCCCAGCUGGCCUGAGAAUUCAGUUGCCUGUGGUACCUUGUGGUAAAUUAGAUCAAACUAGUGGGAAGCAGCCACUGUUCGCACACAACAUCUCUGCAAGCCUCUUGCAGGACCUGGGAAACUGGAAGGAAUAGCUGCAAGCUAGAAGGAGAUCAGGAGCUCACUUCCUCCAGAACCUUUCUCUGCUGAAGACUAGGAUGGCCAGUUGUGGGUCAUGUUUCUGGUGCAUCAUCUGGCUGGUGGUUCUGCUGUGCAUUGGCUGGCCCCUCAGCAUUACCUUAGGGGGUCUCUACGGCCUCAUCAGCCCCCUAACCACCUGCCUCGGCCUGGACCGACUCUCCGACCUGCUCAUGGAGGGGGCCAACCUGGGCCGGACCUGCGCCAAUAACAUGAGGCACUGCAAGCCCUUGUGUUGAGAUCCAGCAGCAGGACCGGGAGAUCGAAGGCGAACUGUUAAUGUCUGUUUUUUGUGGAGCUAUUCUGAGAUGAUGGGCACUCAAUACAGCAAGAAACUUUUUAGUAACUUAUGUAACAAAAAGGUCCGGAAGGUCUGGAAAAUGGAUUCCACUCGUUCUGUUAACAUGUAAUUAACCAUGGAUUUCAAAUUUGUAUGGGUUUGUCAGGAAGGAAAUAGGCUUUGUGUUCAUGGUCUGUGUUUGCUGUUUAAUUCAUGAUGACACUGCAUGGAGAAGAUAAGAAAGAAAACGGCAAUUUAACAAUGGAAAUGCUUAGACUUGUAAAUGACUAUAUGGAAACUUUUAAUGCGAUUAAAACUGCUUUGAACUUGU